AUGAACAAAGCUAGGGGAGGAGAUGGAAUUCCAGUUGAGCUGUUUCAAAUCCUGAAAGAUGACGCUGUGAAAGUGCUGCACUCAAUAUGCCAGCAAAUUGGGAAAACUCGGGAGUGGCCACAGGACUGGAAAAGGUCAGUUUUCAUUCCAAUUCCAAAGAAAUGCAAUGCCAAAGAAUGCUCAAACUACCACACAAUUGCACUCAUCUCACAUGCUAGUAAAGUAGUGCUCAAAAUUCUCCAAGCCAGACUUCAGCAAUAUGUAAACCUUGAACUCCCUGAUGUUCAAGCUGGCUUUAGAAAAGGCAGAGGAACCAGAGAUCAAAUUGCCAACAUCCACUGGAUCAUGGAAAAAGCAAGAGAGUUCCAGAAAAACAUCUAUUUCUGCUUUAUUGACUAUGCCAAAGCCUUUGACUGUGUGGAUCACAAUAAACUGUGGAAAAUUCUGAAAGAGAUGGGAAUACCAGACCACCUAACCUGCCUCUUGAGAAAUCUGUAUGCAGGUCAGAAAGCAACAGUUAGAAUUGGACUUGGAACCACAGACUGGUUCCAAAUAGGGAAAGGAGUACGUCAAGGCUGUAUAUUGUCACCCUGCUUAUUUAACUGCUAUGCAGAGUACAUCAUGAGAAACGCUGGACUGGAAGAAAGACAAGCUGGAAUCAAGAUUGCCGGGAGAAAUAUCAAUAACCACAGAUAUGCAGAUGACACCACCCUUAUGGCAGAAAAUGAAGAGGAGCUAAAAAGCCUCUUGAUGAAAGUGAAAGAGGAGAGUGAAAAAGUUGGCUUAAAGCUCAACAUUCAGAAAACGAAGAUCAUGGCAUCCGGUCUGAUCACUUCAUGGGAAAUAGAUGGGGAAACAGUGGAAACCGUGUCAGACUUUAUUUUUUUGUGCUCCAAAAUCACUGCAGAUGGUGACUGCAGCCAUGAAAUUAAAAGACACUUACUCCUUGGAAGAAAAGUUACGACCAAGCUAGAUAGUAUAUUCAAAAGCAGAGACAUUACUUUGCCAACUAAGGUCCGUCUAGUCAAGGCUAUGGUUUUUCCUGUGGUCAUGUAUGGAUGUGAGAGUUGGACUGUGAAGAAGGCUGAGCACCAAAGAAUUGAUGCUUUUGAACUGUGGUGUUGGAGAAGGCUCUUGAGAGUCCCUUGGACUGCAAGGAGAUCCAACCAGUCCAUUCUGAAGGAGAUCAGCCCUGGGAUUUCUUUGGAAGGAAUGAUGUUAAAGCUGAAGCUCCAGUACUUUGGACACCUCAUGCGAAGAGUUGACUCAUUGGAAAAGACUUUGAUGCUGGGAGGGACUGGGGGCAGGAGGAGAAGGGGACGACAGAGGAUGAGAUGGCUGGAUGGCAUCACAGACUCAAUGGACCUGAGUCUGAGUGAACUCUGGGAGUUGGUGAUGGACAGAGAGGCCUGGCAUGCUGCGAUUCAUGGGGUCACAAAGAAUUGGACAUGA
rnacentral:lncRNA from 1 species